CAGACGACUAAUGAUCAGAUCAACAGCACCGUAACAUCGCAUUUUCGAAUUGUUUGCAGCUCGAAUGGAACGUGAUCUCGAGGUGUCAAUCACGAUGCCAUAAGUCCGGGCAAGAUCAGCUGAGAUCAAUGACUCUGUUGCACCCGUGUCUGGCAAGAUGUCCAUUGUAAAAGGUGUGCCACUUGGAGGAAGAACAUGGACAUCGAUGGUCGGGGUGGGACGAGCCUUGAACAUGUUGACGCGGAUGAUGGAGGAAGUGAUGGGAUUCGUGUUCUGGGAUAGACGAUCCCGGGAUUUAGAUCUUCCACGCCAGAUUUUACCGCCUUGACAAACAGACGCAAAGUGACCUGGUUUUUGGCACUUGCUGCAUGUCUUGUUUAGAGCUGGACAAUGCUCUCGGGAGUUUCCUCCACGGAGGAUGUGGCUGCAAUCAUGAUUGGGGUUAGAUCAUUUGAAAUUGAUCUUUCCGCGGUCGUUGCAGACUCCCAUGCCAUUGCAGUUCGGUGAAGAAGAUCACGAGAGGGGUCGGAUUGACGAAGGAAUUCUUCACGAAGUCGGCGGUCGGAAAUCCCAGUGACCAAUCGGAGAAUAUAGAGGUCGUCCUCUUCGAUCGUGUCCAAUUCAGCUUCCUGGCCCUCCAAUUGUAAACGAAGAUACCAGUCACUGAAUUUUUCUCCAGGCUGCUGAUCACAUCGAAAGAAAUUGUAUCGGCGUGUUAGAAGCGGUAUGUGCUGGACGAAAAUUUCCCGUAACUCUGCAAUACAUCCCUGGCUCCCCAGGAUCGGAGUGUCAUCCUUGGUUUUGGUGGAGAGCAUCUGCUGGAGUUUGAGGUCGAGGCAGGAAUGGAGAUAGCCUCGCUGUUCCCCAAGAGGGAAAGUGUCCAUGUGGUUGGACGAGUAGAACAAGGGCAAGGUUGAUCUUGGAGAUGUUUUGGUGGUUGGAGCUUGACGAAUCUGGUCGACUUGGCCGUGCCUGAGCACGAACAGAGGUGGAAGUUUUGAGAAUGCGUUCCUGGAGCUUGGAAACAUCCUUGGAGAAUUUCGUGACAUGGGAAUCCUCUUUGGUGAAUGACUCACCAUCCAAAUGUCCGCUUGACGAUGCCAGUACUUCUUCCAGAGUGUUCAGGGAGUCCUCGACUUUGGCAAAGAGGCCAUUAAUCCUCUCUACCAUGGAGAUAUCCCAAUCAGAUGUGUCCAACGAAUCCACAUCGGAAAGGAAGGAGUCGCAAGUGUUGAAAUGCCGUGAGAAGACGCUCCUCCUUGAGAUCAGUGAUUGUUUAGCCGAGUCCAUGAUAUAACGUACGGUGAGUCGUGAGUGGUGGAAUAAUUGAACCACGGGUAAGAUUCGUGAAGGAUGUGCGGAGCGUCAGGACGGUUGGGGCACA